rnacentral:rRNA from 1 species
GACGAACGCUGGCGGCGUGCCUAACACAUGCAAGUCGAGCGAGAAUUUAAGGAAAGAUCCCUUCGGGGUGAAUUUUUUAAAGGAGAGCGGCGGACGGGUGAGUAACGCGUGAGCAACCUGCCUUAAGGAGGGGGAUAACACAGAGAAAUCUGUGCUAAUACCGCAUAAAACAUUUUACCGCAUGAUAGAAAUGUCAAAACUCCGGUGCCUUAAGAUGGGCUCGCGUCCGAUUAGCUAGUUGGUGGGGUAACGGCCUACCAAGGCGACGAUCGGUAGCCGGACUGAGAGGUUGAACGGCCACAUUGGGACUGAGACACGGCCCAG